AGCUUUGCGCAGUGGCAGUAUCGUAGCCAAUGAGGUUUAUCCGAGGCGCGAUUAUUGCUAAUUGGAAAAAAAAAAAUAUCAAGUUGCCGGGGAUUUAGAAUGGAAAGACGGAAAGAUUAUGAAGAGGCAUGAGAAAAAUUCAUUAUCUUGAUUCUGGUUAUGGUUUCAUAGUU
rnacentral:snRNA from 1 species